rnacentral:lncRNA from 1 species
UAAUGGAAUCAGGGGGCGGGACUUCCUCAUGCUAUUCUCAUGAUAGCAAAUAAGUCUCAUGAGAUAUUAUGAUUUCAUAAAGGGGAGUUUCCUUGCACACAUUCUCUCUUGCCUGCCAUCAUGUAAGAUGUGGUUUUUGCUCCUCUUUUGUCUUCUGCCAUGGUUGUGAGGCCUCCCCAGUCAUGUGGAACUUUGACUUUCCUCUUCUGUGGCACAGAGAAGCUCUUCACUCACUAGAGAAGAAAAAGUAAUUCAGAUUUCUAGAGGGAGAAGACAGGCCCAAAGGGAUGUGGAAGUGGGGAUCACCUUCACUUCAGCCUCAUACCAACGGAUGAGCUAAGAAGCGAGGCCUAAUGUUUUACCUUCUAUUGUCACUUAGAAGCACUGCUGAAAAUUGGUUCUUACUGGGUUAUCUGUAUCAACACACCUUUGACUUCAAUCAGGAUUAUAAGCUUCCUGAGGCCUCCUAGAAGCCCAGCUAAUGCGAGCACCAUGCUUCCUGUAAAGGCUGAAGAACUAGAAGCAGAUGGAAUUUUGAGAGAGAAAAGGAGGAGGUAACAUGAAGACAGGCAGAGAUGGGAGUGGUGCAGCCAAGAGCCAAGCAACACCUGGUGCCACCUGCAGCUGGAAGAGGAAAGGAAGAGAUUCAUCUCUAGAGUCUUAGGAGGAAGCACAGCCCUGCUUUAAUUUUGGACUUCUGGCUUCCACAAUAAAAACAGAAUAAAUCGAUGUUGCCUUAGUCCAUCCAGUUUAUGGUAAUUUGUUACAGCACUCUAGGAAACUAAUACACGAAACAAGGCCUGACUGAGCAUUGCCAGAGGGGAAAGUUAGCAGAGAGGAAGGAGAGGUGAGACCCUUCUCUUGGUCGAGUGAGAUCUGUUCCCUUAUUUUAGAAGAAAUGUGGGACUCUCUUUUUUUGUGACAUAUGACAAAGGUUUUGGCAGGUAGGGAGGAAUAGAGGACUUUUCGACCUUUGGGUCUAGAUUUCAUCAGUGAUUCCAUGGCAAAGGCUAAAAGUGUUUGAGCACUAUUUUAAAGUCUGCUGGUUUUACACAUUCAAAUUCUACCCUAACUCAUAUUUCCUGCCUGUUUCUAUCUGUAUUCUCCAGCCAUAGCAUCAUCUCUCACAUUCUGAAAUAAAAGUGACUAAUAUAAUUCAUAGUGAGAAUUUUUUUCUCUCUUACUAGAAUUCUUAUAAAUU